ACAGCGGAACGUGCAAGAAAACAGCCUCGUCGACAUACUUUUGUUUUGUAUAUGAUCGCCCAAUCGACGGCUGCCUUGCCGUGAAUAAUAGUGAUUCAUUUACUGCUGCCCUCUCUCCUUUGAGGGAGGUUUUUUUUUUUUUGAAAAAAAAAAAAAAACUUGCUUUCUAUCUGGUCGGGUGAUAAUCGUGAUUACAUUUGUUCAGAACACCAACGCCACAAGAAUGGAAAUUAGGAGAGGCCCUUUUCUUUAUCUCCAAGAGUUAUCUCCAAACUCCGAUUUUCCAAAAAAAAAAAAAUCUCCGCUUCCUCGAGGGGGCCAGCCAAUUCUCAGCAAGGUGGUGUUUCGGUAUUUCAAUAUUUUCUCCCCUUGAUUCACAUGGGAACGGCUGCU
rnacentral:sRNA from 1 species